rnacentral:rRNA from 1 species
UACAGAGGGGGCGAGCGUUGUUCGGAAUUACUGGGCGUAAAGGGCGCGUAGGCGGCCCGCUAAGUCGAACGUGAAAUCCCCAGGCUCAACCUGGGAACUGCGUCCGAUACUGGAUGGCUUGAAUCCGGGAGAGGGAUGCAGAAUUCCAGGUGUAGCGGUGAAAUGCGUAGAUAUCUGAAGGAAUACCGGUGGCGAAGGCGGCAUCCUGGACCGGCAUUGACGCUGAGGAGCGAAAGCCAGGGGAGCAAACGGG